GAGAAUAUAAAAUAUUGAUAUGUAACUGGUAAUCGGUUCGUGGUGUGAUUCUAUGUAAGAAAGGCUUAUUGAGUACCUUAAGAACGGACUGACAGACCCAGUACGUAGGGAAUCCUACUGUGGACAUUACCUCAAUUGGACGGGGUUAAGAAGUCCUAUACCGAAAGAGUUUGAGAGAUAUGGUUCACCCUCAUACCAAACGGGGUAUCGAGACGAUAAUGUGUUUGGCGCCUAUUACCGGACGGGGUAUAGGAACGCCGGGUUAAUUGACAAAUCUAGAUAUUGAGUUCAUGAAUAGGAGAAUAUCCAUAUGGACCCCCAAGGGUUCCAGUAAGCAG
rnacentral:lncRNA from 1 species